rfam:Phytophthora infestans T30-4 supercont1.1 genomic scaffold, whole genome shotgun sequence.
GCUCUUAUGGUGUAAAUGGUUAGCACUCUGUGACUCUGAAUCCAGCGAUUCCGGGUUUCAAAUCCCGGUAGGAGCU